ACAACUUCACGUUGCAUCCCUUCAAGUUACGCAUCUCUCUUGCAGUCUGCAGACAGACCCUUCUAACAAUACUCUGGAUUACAUCAUUCAGCUCGGACGCAGAAGCGACAUCACUAUGAGGAACCGUUAUUUCUUUUUUUGGGUUUUAUUUCUCAAAGAGGGUGUUUUUGGUGUGGAGAAAUAUAACGUAAUGGAGGGAGAUUCUGUCACUCUGAACCCUGGUGAUACUAAAAUACCAGAAGAGGAUACAGCUCAAUGGUGGUUUGGUGAUAAAUUAAUAGCUCGUAUGAAUAAAGGUAAUAAUAUCAACUCUAUAUCUGAGGGCAAUGAUGCAGGAUUCAAAGACAGACUGAAGCUGGAUCAGACUGGAUCUCUGACCAUCACAGACACCAGAACCACAGACUCUGGAGAAUAUAAACUACUAAUUAAGAGCACCACUGAGACAUACAAGAUAUUCAAAGUUACUGUUGAUGAUGAUGUGAAGCAACUAUCAGUGAUGGAGGGAAAUCAAGUGACUUUAGACACUAACUUUACUAAAAUACAGAGAGAUGAUCAGAUAAAGUGGAAAUUUGAAGAUCAAGUCAUCCCCACUGGUCACUUAACCAGUUAACAGUCGCCCCCUUUAGUCAGGUUUAAGACCAUAUAUGACAUACACCAACUAAAAUGGCCACAGUUCAUGAACCCUAUGGACUACAGACAUAACUGAUGUCUCUUUAGAAAGGUUUUAGAUGUGGGUUUGUCAUGCAAGUAUAAGAAUUGGUUGUAUCAUUAUAUACAAAAAAUUAGAGAUGUAAAAUAUAUUUGCAAAGUAAUAAUCAAUUUAUUUUAAUAAAAUAUAUUUAUAAAUACAUGUUUUAAAUGGUGCUAUAAGCACCUCAAAAUCACUGGAGUCAAAGCCACAAAUCUAAAUAAGUAAAAAUUCAAAUAUGAGUGUGAAGUCACCGCAAAAUGAGGUUCCCAUAAUGGUUUCAUCUUAUAGAAUGUAAAUAUUUUUAAAAGGCACUAGAGAUUCCAAAAUGCCUGGUAAUUAAUUUAAGGUAAAAUACAAUUUACCAUUAUGUACAACUAAACAUAAUUGUUGUAUUUACAAAUUAUGAACAUUUAAAAUGUUUAAAAAGGCCUGAAACAGUUAUGGUUUAAGGGUAAAAUAGCAAAAGUUACAAACAUGACUGGAAGUUUAUAUUAGCAAUGCUUUAGUCAGUGCUUUCUGAUUUUCUGUUGUCACUUAAUUCUUAAAUUAAUUCUUAAUUCUAAUUCUAAAAGUUACACCCAAAUGUUCAAAUCUGUGUUUUCAGACUGUUUCGUCAACCACACCAUAAGUUCUGUUGGCAUGAAGCCAUAAAUGCGCAUAUACAUGCUUUUUAAAACAUACAUUUUAGCAUUUAGAAAGCUGGUUCUUAAUAAAAUGUAGUAUCUACUAUUAAAGUAUUUCAGGCACCUAAGUGACAGACAAGGAAAUGUUUAGUAAACUUGUCUGAAUGCAGUCAUUAUUUGAGCAUUUCUGUUGGUGAUGCUGGUGGGGUGUAAAAUACAGAGUGCACAUUUGGUAAAGAUACAAAUUUGAUUCCCAAAUGAAAAACUUGCAUGCUUGAACACCUGCACAAGGCUGGAUACAAACUAUCCAUAUAAUCUCUGUAAUAAUCUCUUUGAUGGCUAAAUAUUUUCUUCCAUCAAAAAUUUACAUUGGCUGCAUGUGUGCAGUGAAUAUUACAGGUUCUACAUAUUUGGGCUUCACAAUGGUCGGUGGCGCUAUUAGAAUGUUUUGAAUUACUGACCAAUCAGCGCCAGGGAAAGAAAAUGCUGGAGGUGCGGCUAUAAUGUUCGUAAAACUGUAACUCAUAUGAUAAUAUACCGUUUUUAUAUCUGAAACGCCCUUAGAGUGAAUAAUUGUAUUAAUUAUGGACAAGAAUGAAAUUUUCAAGAAUGAAAAUUCUCUCAGAAGAAAUAUUACGUAAGCAAUGAAGAAUCCGUCGAUAUUCAUUCUAUAUCAAAACUUUUUGGACUUAAAAAGGCAACCUAAUUUUGUUUUCCGGAUAAUUAUCAUGAGUUGUAUGCUGAUGUUUGCAUGAUUUGAUUUAUCUGUCAUCGUCAAGAGACAAAAAAAUGUUCAGGAUUCAAGGGUCCGAUGUUACGUGCAUCGUUGAUCAUCUUGAUACAAAUUAAAAUAAUGUUGUCUCGAUGUUACGAUCGUAAAUAUUAAUGCCAGGGCCUUUAAGCUUUCGAAUGAUGUGUCGUUUGUCAAUACUGAUUUAAGAUUGUUGGUAAAAUCAUGCGGUUAAUGUAAACAAACAAGCGUUGGGACCAGCGAUGGUCUCGAGCAAGUUAAUGGAUUAAACAGCGCUGCUGACCUGAGCUGGAGAAACAUUCGACUGAAUUAUGAGACCGGUGAUCUUACCAUCAGAAACAUCCGAGGAGAUCAAUCUGGUGAUUAUGAAGUGGAGAUCAAAAACAGCGACAACAGGUUGAUCUUACACAGGAAAUUCCAUAUUACCCUUAGUGAAAUUAAGAUAAUGUCAAUGAAGGAUGGAGAUCCUGUCACUCUUCAAUUUGACACUGAAAUACAGAGCGAUGAUCUGAUACUGUGGAUGUUUGGACCUAAAAGCACAUGUAUAGCUGAAAUCAACAAAAAAGUAAAUACCUCCUUAUUACAUAAAGAUGUUCUUGGUGGGAUAUUCAGAGGCAGACUGAAACUGGAUCAUCGGACUGGAUCUCUGACCAUCACAGACACCAGAACUGAACAUACCGGACUUUAUAAAGUAGAGCUCACCAGCAGCAGAGGGUCAACAUACACAAGAUUCAUAGUUACUCUCACCAAACAGGAUACGACUGACCGAAAAACACUGAUUGGGAUUAUUGUGUUUCUGCUGCUGCUGCUGGUGGGAGCUAUUGCAGGAUUUGUGAUUUACAGGAAGAAAUGUAGACAACCAGGGGCAAAUCGUAAUUAUCAAAUAUAGAUA